UUCGGGUUGUCAUGCCAAUGGCACUGCCCGGUAGCUAAAUGCGGAAGAGAUAAGUGCUGAAAGCAUCUAAGCACGAAACUUGCCCCGAGAUGAGUUCUCCCUGACUCCUUGAGAGUCCUGAAGGAACGUUGAAGACGACGACGUUGAUAGGCCGGGUGUGUAAGCGCAGCGAUGCGUUGAGCUAACCGGUACUAAUGAACCGUGAGGCUUAACCUUACAACGCCGAAGGUGUUU
rnacentral:rRNA from 1 species